CCUGCAGGAGGUUACUGCUAUUAGGAUGCGACUUAGACAUGCAAGUCAAGGAUUCUUCGGAGUCCUGGCACACGGCUCAGUAACACGUCGAUAAUCUGCCUUAUGGUCUUGGAUAACCUUGAGAAAUUGAGGAUAAACCAAGAUAAGAAAAAACUACUGGAAUGUGUUUUUUCUGAAAAGCAAUGCCAUAAGAUGAGUCGGCGACUGAUUAGGUAGUUGGCGAGGUAAAGGCUCACCAAGCCUGUGAUCAGUAGAGGGAAUGGAAGUUCUGGCCUCGAGAAGGACACUGAGAUAAGGGUCCUAGCCCUAAGGGGUGCAGCAGUCGCGAAACCUUUACAAUGCGCGCAAGCGUGAUAGGGGUAUCCUAAGUGCCUACCUUCUGGGUAGGCUUUUGUUGAGUGUAAAUAGCUCGAAGAAUAAGUGGUGGGUAAGACUGGUGCCAGCAGCCGCGGUAACCCCAGCGCCACUAGUGGUGACCACGAUUAUUGGGCCUAAAGCGUCCGUAGCUGGCUUAAAAACUUCUUUGUGAAAUUGUUGGACUUAAUCUAACAACGUGCAGAGAAAACUUUUAGGCUUGAGACCGGGAAGAGAUAGAAGUAUUCCUUGGGGAGCGGUAAAAUGUUAUAAUCCUUGGAGGACUACCAAUAGCGAAGGCAUCUAUCUAGAACGGGUCUGACAGUGAGGGACGAAAGCUAGGGGAGCAACAUGGAUUAGAUACCCAAUUAGUCCUAGCUGUAAACGCUGCGAACUAGGUGUUGCAUAUUCUUUGGGAAUAUGCAGUGCCGGAGCGAAGGUGUUAAGUUCGCUGCCUGGGAAGUACGGCCGCAAGACUGAAACUUAAAGGAAUUGGCGGGGGCGCACUACAAGGGGUGAAGUGUGCGGUUUAAUCUAACUCUACUCAGAAAAUCUUACCAUGGGCGAUGGCAUGAUGAAGGUCAGAUUAAAGGUCUUACCUGAAGGGCCCAGAGAUGCUGCAUGGCCGUCGUCAGCUCGUGCCGCGAGGUGUCACGUUAAGUCGUGCAACGAGCAAGACCUACAUUCAUAGUUGCUACCGAGUCUUUUGAUGUUCGAGCACACUAUGAAGACUGCCUUGGUAACAAGGAGGAAGGUGUAGGCAACGAUAGGUCUGUAUGGCUCGAAUCUCAUGGGAUACACACGCACUGCAAUGAUAAGGACAAUAGGAUACAACUCCGUAAGGAGAAGUUAAUCCCUCAAACCUUAUCCUAGUACAGAUUGAGGGUUGUAACUCACCCUCAUGAAGCCGGAAUCCCUAGUAAUCGGGUAUCAUCAAUGCCCGGUGAAUACGUCAAUGUGCCUUGCACACACUGCCCAUCAAGUCAACCGAGCAGAGUUUUGGUGAGGUUUAGUUUUUGACUAAAUCGAAUCAGAGCUCAGUAAGGUGGGUUAAGUUGUCACAAGGUA
rnacentral:rRNA from 1 species